GAAAUAAUCAAAGCAUUACAAUUUAUCUACUGUCAACUGAAAAUUAUACUUUCAGGCAUACAAUAACUAACUCAACAACCAACAUUCUGCUGACUAAUCUGAAGGAAGGGGAUGUUCAUUAAUUGAAUUGGGGAGGAAUAACAACAAAGUCAGCGAUAAGUUGUCUAGAAAACCACCGAGAGCUCAUGGCCACUCAAGCCAAAGUCGGAGGUGGAGUCGAAGUCCUAGGUCCUAAACAAACCACAUUUCUACGAGCAGCUGUGGAAGCCCUGGCAAUUAAAUGGUAAGGAAUUUCGGGGAGGCAACGAGCAAACAAAACACACACACAUCGUUUUACUGUGCCUGUCUGUCUAUCUGUCUGUGUGGGUUCCUUCCUUUGCCUUAUUUAUCUCAACACAAAGAUGACAUUUGUGUUGAAACAGGCAAAUUAGUAUUUAUUGCUUCUUGCUGCUGCUGACAUAUUAUUUUAUUUGUUUAAUUAAUUUACCAAAAAAUUACCACAAAGCAAUAUCAACAACGCCUUUCGGUAUUUUACUCUUCCUCUAACUUUUUGCUUCUUGUCUUCCUCUACCCGUUUCUUUUACGCUAUCCCUCUCUCUCUCUCUCUCUCCCUUUCUCUCUCUCUGUUAUGUCGCAUGGCAUAUGGCAUUUGUAAUAAAUAAGCAACAGAUAACCCAAAAAAGACAAUUAAAGGAGAGCCAAAAACUUUGUGGCUAGUAAAUUUUCGCUGAUUUUCCUCCCGAUUCUUUUUCUUAGACUUUUCCUGGACACACAUAGCCUCGCACACAUAAUUAAAUCAAUUAAAUAUUUAACGUGCUUUGUCUGAGGCUCUCUUUCACAUCGUCCUUCAUCCAUUCGUUUUUUGGACUUUUAUUACACUGCUGCGGCAUUAAGGGUGCCGAGAGUUGCUUGUCCUUGGACUGAUUCCUCCCCCAUAAAUUAACAAUGGGAAGGACAAAAUUAAAUUAAGUAAAUCAUGUGGUGAUGUUCAAUCCCUGCCUACCCUCCUUUUUCCACCUUUUGCUUCCCCGCUGUCUUUGCAUUUCUCUUGGUUCUUUUUUGUUCCUCGAAAAUAAUUAAUUGUUGAUAGCUUGAAAUACCUUAAGAUGGACAGCUGCCAUAACAAUUUAACGACCAUAAAAGGACAAGAAAUGAAAAAUAAGUAGUUACGAGGAGGGACGUGUGAGACGCUUCGUACGCGUCACAACUUUUAUUUUUCAUUCUUGUCUGGACGUUGAUAUGCCAUGACUGUACCAUCAAGUGGCCCAUGCGACACCAAGGCAAAGCCUGUUACGCGCGGAACACAGCAGAACGCAGCCCUCCUCCCGGCCAACCGAACGAGGGGCGCUGCCGCAUGACGCGCGGCGCGAUUAACCGAACCGGUCGCGAGCAUGCAGGAAAGAUAGAUGAUAGGCUAAUAUUCGAGGAAAAUCAGAGCUAAACACAACUAGACUAUAGCUAGCAACUAUAGCAAGCAAAAAUUACCAAAAUCAGAAACAAGGCAAAACUAAAAUGAAACUAACUACGGGAGAGGUUGGCUAAUAUAAGAGAUUUAAGAAGAGGAAGGGAGUUAGUUGAGGAUAUAAUGUGGUAGAGGGAAUUGUAAUCCGAGCAUAAAACCCUAAAGGGUUCGUGUGAGGCAUAAUUCAAUCUACAUAGUGGAAGGAACAAAGGAAUAAAGUUUCUGGUGGGUCUAAUGGGAAUCGUAAAGUUUAUGCGGGUCAGCGGUCAGGGCUGUAUACAUCCCCCUUGAUCAAGUGCAUACAAAUUAUAAUUAAUAGAUGUUUUGAAGAAAUGUUGUAAAAAGAUCGGCGUUUGCCUGAUCAUUGUUUGCCGACAUAUUCAAAAAUGAUAGCGAGGAUGGAUGUGCGGACGUUCUACGCUUACUGUUUACAAAGCUGUAAAACUGUUUAGAGUCCUGUAAAAAAAGUAUCCUGCAUCGAAGGAGGUAGUUCCUAUAGCAUUGAGAAUUAAGAACAGUGAAAUUUGACCGAGCUAUUAAGUAAUUAGAAAGAGAAGAGGGAGAACCAACUUCUUGAGAUUUUUUAAAUAGUCUUGAUUUUAGGUUCGCUAGACUGGAUAACUCUUUGGUGAACCAAGGAGGUUUCGCAGAUCUAGUCGGUCAUGAAAGUGGGACACACGUGUCAAAAAUUGUGUCAAGUACAUUGUAAAAAAUGUUUGUGGGUUCAAUGACGUCAGUGCACGAGUACAGAGCGGACCAAUCAAAAUUUCUAAUUAAGUUAUUGAGCUUCGUAAACUCGGCAUUACGAAAGCAGCGGUUCAGAUAGUCUACUCGCACGAUCCGAUACAGUAGGUCCAAUAUCUAUGGACACUUCGAAAGUAGGAUGAUAGCAGUCUUCAGGUAUAGUGAGCGGGAGUGCUCGUGUUAACAACGCUACGGUCGGAUCCGAGACAAAGCACAGAUCAAGCAAUCGACCCAAGGAGUUUUUUACAUGGUUGACUUGAGACAGGGACAGGUCUAAUAAGCCAUCAAUAAACUCAUGUCGUGACAUGGGCACAAGGUNCCUUGAUCAAGUGCAUACAAAUUAUAAUUAAUAGAUGUUUUGAAGAAAUGUUGUAAAAAGAUCGGCGUUUGCCUGAUCAUUGUUUGCCGACAUAUUCAAAAAUGAUAGCGAGGAUGGAUGUGCGGACGUUCUACGCUUACUGUUUACAAAGCUGUAAAACUGUUUAGAGUCCUGUAAAAAAAGUAUCCUGCAUCGAAGGAGGUAGUUCCUAUAGCAUUGAGAAUUAAGAACAGUGAAAUUUGACCGAGCUAUUAAGUAAUUAGAAAGAGAAGAGGGAGAACCAACUUCUUGAGAUUUUUUAAAUAGUCUUGAUUUUAGGUUCGCUAGACUGGAUAACUCUUUGGUGAACCAAGGAGGUUUCGCAGAUCUAGUCGGUCAUGAAAGUGGGACACACGUGUCAAAAAUUGUGUCAAGUACAUUGUAAAAAAUGUUUGUGGGUUCAAUGACGUCAGUGCACGAGUACAGAGCGGACCAAUCAAAAUUUCUAAUUAAGUUAUUGAGCUUCGUAAACUCGGCAUUACGAAAGCAGCGGUUCAGAUAGUCUACUCGCACGAUCCGAUACAGUAGGUCCAAUAUCUAUGGACACUUCGAAAGUAGGAUGAUAGCAGUCUUCAGGUAUAGUGAGCGGGAGUGCUCGUGUUAACACGCUACGGUCGGAUCCGAGACAAAACACAGAUCAAGCAAUCGACCCAAGGAGUUUUUUACAUGGUUGACUUGAGACAGGGACAGGUCUAAUAAGCCAUCAAUAAACUCAUGUCGUGACAUGGGCACAAGGUUGUUUGACUCGUUUACCGAAGACCAGACAUUACCUGGCAGGCUGAAAUCCCCAACAACUAUUAAAUGGUCUUUAUCAGAUAGCGAGGAAGAAACAGUUUUUAAGGCAGACAAGUGCUGCUCGUAUAUUAGUACAUCCGAAGUCGGUGGAAUGUACGAGAAAGUGACAUAAAUAGACUGGCCGGGAAGAAUCAAUCUAACACAGAGGAAUUCCAGGUCUUGUGAGACCUGGACAAUGAAAAGUUCCGACGUAAAGUAAGAGUUUACUGCAAUCAGAACCCCUCCUCCACGUCGAGACGAACGAUCAUUCCUAUAAAUUGUGUACCGAUCUGCCAAAACUUCGGAACUAAGAAGGCCCGGCACAGUAGCGCCGCGAUCUGUGACGAGAAAGCACGUGGGGAACAUAUCCUCUACGCCAGGUAAGUAUUGGAGCAAAAUUGUAACAAGUUACAUAUUUCGACGUGACGAUUUCCCCCUUGUAAAGGCGGGCGGCCAAAUAAUUCCCCUCUACCCAAGGGUAGAGCGGUAACUUAAAACCUAAAAAAAAAAGAAGGUCCGGCUUUAACCAGGUUUCGGUAAACACAAUAACAUGGGAUGAAAAUGUGAAACUAUCCAUAAAAAGAGUGCUCAGCUUACUACUUAAGCCGAGAGCAUUUUGAUAGGCUACAAAGAGGGAUGUUAGUUUUUUGACUGCAACGAAUUGCAGUGGGAAGAGGUGGAUGGAGCAGAGGAGGAAGGACCACUGGCCUUUAUACAUAUUAUAUUUUUGUUAAAUGUUUAUUUUACAUUUAACAUUUUUUCUACAUAUUUUAUCUACAUCUACAUCUUUUUUCACGCCAACACGCUCUUUUAGCUCGCCCCCCUCUGGCUCUAGUUUGUAUAGUCUCUUAGAUCCAGGCGCUCAACGAGACGGAAGGACGGGCGGACAGACGGACAGGGCUACAUCGAAUCGGCUAUUGGUGCUGAUCAAGAAUAUAUGUACUUUAUGGGGUCGGAAACGUCUCCUUCUAUGUGUUACAUACAUACAUCCACUUUGUGCACAAAUACAACCCUAUUUACUCUUUGAGUACCGAGUAUAAUUAUGGAAACUAUGCAAAGAUAGAGUGUAAAAUUUACAUUGAAAUUUGGUUCAAGAGCCUAUGAACUUCCAGGGCGAAAUCUUUCUAAAUUAAUCUACUCUUCUCCUAGAAUUAAAAAUGGAAUUUCCAUCUACAAUUGGGUCCCUGUAGCAAAUAUAACUUCACCAAAAGUAUCCCUCAUUGUGGGCACGGAUCUUUCAUUUGCUCCUCUGGCCAUAAUCUCUCGGGGAAUCGAAAUCGCAACCAAGUGAAAACGAGCAUGUUACAAGUGGUCGUAACAGCAGCAACAAGCAACAUUGUCGGUUUAUGGGUCACUACCGUUUGACUGCAUUUAUGGAUGGCCUGCUCCUCUGUCGUCGUUCGUCGCUCGUCUGCUUUUUGUAGCUUCGAUCUUAUUUUUUUGGCUAGUAUUUCUUAGGGUUUCAUGUUGUCCAUAAUAAAGCAAACAUAUGACCAUUAUGCAAAUAUACAAGGUAGUCUCCUCGGGUGGCAUUCGGGUGUGUUCGUGCCUAUUAAGUUUCAGUGGGUACUCGCUUGUUGAUGCAAAUGGGCGCUGAAAAUUACUUUUUAUAAUUUUUUUAGAAUUAAGAGUAGCUUAUUGAAAAAUCGAAUUAAAAAAACACUUAAACUUUUUUUUUAUAAUGUUCAAAUUUAAACCCCAUGCCAACAUAGGACAUGUAAUCAUCACACGAUAGUUUCGUUUCACUCACACUUACUGCGCAGAACCCUUUCACUCGCACUUACAAACAGCAUAGCUGUCCUUAUGACAAGGCAGAGACCAAGAGAGAGAGAUAGAGAGAGAGAGAGAGAGAGAGAGAGAGAGAGACAGAGUGGGAAUGGGAGAGGACAAGGAAUUCUUGAGAGAAUAUAUAAAUGUUGAACCCUGCAGGCAAGCCAGAGACGAGCAGCCAAUAAAAUCAGCGGAAGCUCAGAAAAGUCAUGAAAAAUGUUGCCAAAAAAAAAGACAACAAAAACAACGAAAAGGAAAAGGAUGGAGUCAAAAGCAUUUAUUGGGAAGGGUUCGGGUGAAUGACACCGCGAGGCGGGAAUGUACGAGUAUCUCUGUGUGUUAUCAUUAUUUUUACUGCAACGCAUUCGCAUAAAGGACAUUAUCAUAUUUUUCAUCAAAGUCAGCAACAGCGAUAAAAACUACAUACGUAUAUACAGCACACACACACAAACAGAUAAACACACACAUGAGUGAAUAACGGUUCUAUAUAACCCCUAGACUGUUCUCUCCUUCUCUGUCUGUGGGGCUCAGUCUGAGCAUUUCUAUUCUGCAGUUGCUGUCAACAUUUUUCAUAUCAUAAACACUUUUAGUGUUGAUAUUACCAACAAUAACUUUUCCCUCACACACACACACAUCCGCAUCCGCACCCGCAUCAGUAUAUGUACAUAUAACAGACACGCCCACCCGUCGCGUUGCGGCAAAGGUUAUUUCGUUCGUUUCACAACUUUUUGUUUUUUUUUUUCGUAGGUUUUUCUAACGUAUCAAACCGAGGCGAAAAAUGUUCAUGGCCUUCAUGGCCUUGAUUUGAUGGAUAAUGCAUCAGAAAAUAUGCGAAGAAUUCUUUACUAUUGAUUGCACCUUGCUCCCAUUUGGGAUUUGGAAUAAAAUCAUUCAAAAUUCUCCCAGCAAAAGAUUUUCCUUAAUGCUAUUCCCGAAUAACACAUCGUAGAUGCUUCAAAUUUAUUUAUGCCUCUUUGCGAUCACAGUGCACAGUUUUGCAUGCACUUGAGAUAUGUUUCGAAGGAAUCCACGUUGCAAGUCAAAUUCCGUUCGCAAUUUUCCGUUAAUGUAUUAAAAUACCAGCGCGGCAUGUGACAGUUUGCGCCAUCGUUCUGUGGUCUAAGGCAAUGCUGCUUUAGGGGUGUGCUGUCGGAAAUCGCUGAAGCUUCUU
rnacentral:lncRNA from 1 species